rnacentral:misc_RNA from 1 species
GUGGAACGGUUCAACAACUUCGAAAUACUGAACGUCCUGCACUCAUUACCAGAAAAUUUUCGUACGCGUUUGACGACGAAAAUAUAACGACACAGCGAGGCAGUAAAUUAGACAGUCAAACUUGAGGGGCGGGAGGUCGAUAGCGAACGACUGGCUGACAAGGAAAUACCUUCUCCAAAUGUACCUGUGUCUCAUUUCGUUGCGACAUGCAACAUCUAGGCCCGAAUUAUUAUUUUCUCCUAACUCCCCACAUUUGGUUUGGGGGAAUGGAAUCAUCCUUGGAGAAUUGGCGUCCCAGCGGACCCUCGGAAUAUUUCGGGACUUACGGAAUCAGCAUCCGCAUAGACUGCAACCCGUGCCAAAGUGAUAACGUCACAGUACAACUACAAGCAUCUCGUUACUUUCAACAGGAAUGUGUCUACGUCUGAUAUUCGUGGAUUUGGAUUUGGAUUAUCUUAUACGUAUUGCGAGUGAUGGACAACGUAUGCAUGUGUCAUCAUGACUUAAUGAUUAUGUCUGAUAUUCGUUGGAAUCAUGACAACGUUUAGGAUUGAAAUAGAUAUUAUAUGUACCUUGUGAUUUCGAUAGUAACGUUUUGAAUAUGACUAUCCUAAGUUCGUUGAGUAAGAUGUGAAUUAGUAUAUUGAUAUGUAUUCUACACUAAUGGCUUAUCAAUAAACGAGAAGCAUCCUAGAACUGAA